GACGAACGCUGGCGGCGUGCCUAAUACAUGCAAGUAGAACGCUGAAGAGAGGAGCUUGCUCUUCUUGGAUGAGUUGCGAACGGGUGAGUAACGCGUAGGUAACCUGCCUUGUAGCGGGGGAUAACUAUUGGAAACGAUAGCUAAUACCGCAUAACAAUGGAUGACACAUGUCAUUUAUUUGAAAGGGGCAAUUGCUCCACUACAAGAUGGACCUGCGUUGUAUUAGCUAGUAGGUGAGGUAAUGGCUCACCUAGGCGACGAUACAUAGCCGACCUGAGAGGGUGAUCGGCCACACUGGGACUGAGACACGGCCCAGACUCCUACGGGAGGCAGCAGUAGGGAAUCUUCGGCAAUGGGGGCAACCCUGACCGAGCAACGCCGCGUGAGUGAAGAAGGUUUUCGGAUCGUAAAGCUCUGUUGUAAGUCAAGAACGGGUGUGAGAGUGGAAAGUUCACACUGUGACGGUAGCUUACCAGAAAGGGACGGCUAACUACGUGCCAGCAGCCGCGGUAAUACGUAGGUCCCGAGCGUUGUCCGGAUUUAUUGGGCGUAAAGCGAGCGCAGGCGGUUUGAUAAGUCUGAAGUUAAAGGCUGUGGCUCAACCAUAGUUCGCUUUGGAAACUGUCAAACUUGAGUGCAGAAGGGGAGAGUGGAAUUCCAUGUGUAGCGGUGAAAUGCGUAGAUAUAUGGAGGAACACCGGUGGCGAAAGCGGCUCUCUGGUCUGUAACUGACGCUGAGGCUCGAAAGCGUGGGGAGCGAACAGGAUUAGAUACCCUGGUAGUCCACGCCGUAAACGAUGAGUGCUAGGUGUUGGAUCCUUUCCGGGAUUCAGUGCCGCAGCUAACGCAUUAAGCACUCCGCCUGGGGAGUACGACCGCAAGGUUGAAACUCAAAGGAAUUGACGGGGGCCCGCACAAGCGGUGGAGCAUGUGGUUUAAUUCGAAGCAACGCGAAGAACCUUACCAGGUCUUGACAUCCCGAUGCUAUUUCUAGAGAUAGAAAGUUACUUCGGUACAUCGGUGACAGGUGGUGCAUGGUUGUCGUCAGCUCGUGUCGUGAGAUGUUGGGUUAAGUCCCGCAACGAGCGCAACCCCUAUUGUUAGUUGCCAUCAUUCAGUUGGGCACUCUAGCGAGACUGCCGGUAAUAAACCGGAGGAAGGUGGGGAUGACGUCAAAUCAUCAUGCCCCUUAUGACCUGGGCUACACACGUGCUACAAUGGUUGGUACAACGAGUUGCGAGUCGGUGACGGCGAGCUAAUCUCUUAAAGCCAAUCUCAGUUCGGAUUGUAGGCUGCAGCUCGCCUACAUGAAGUCGGAAUCGCUAGUAAUCGCGGAUCAGCACGCCGCGGUGAAUACGUUCCCGGGCCUUGUACACACCGCCCGUCACACCACGAGAGUUUGUAACACCCGAAGUCGGUGAGGUAACCUUUUGGAGCCAGCCGCCUAAGGUGGGACAGAUGAUUGGGGUGAAAU
rnacentral:rRNA from 1 species